rnacentral:lncRNA from 1 species
GGAUAACUCGAUGUAUUUCUCCCUAAAGGAGGGUGAAUUUUAACUGGACACCUGGAUCUCUCUUCUCAGUGAAUUAUGGCUCCACUCCUUGCAGAGCCACUGCUCCCAGUUUGGCUCACACACAGUUUUCCAAGCUGUAAGAUCUACUCAUUCUUCACCACUAGGUCAGUCCAGGCUCUCCUUGUAAAUGGAAUGUUUCUAUCCUCCCAUCAUCAUAGUUCAUUACUACUUGAAAUUUGUCUCUGGACUCCUCAGAUAUUCUGGGUCCCCCUUUUGCUAUAGCCAAUUCAUGGUUAGGUAUCUAAUUCAGGAAAGAUGAGAACUCCUCUUCUGGAUUGCAUUGAAGAAGGUGUUAUAAUUUGUUAAAUAUUACUAUACAUAAGGUAGCAUGUUGAAUAUUUUAUAUAUCAUGUCAUUUGACUUUUUCUUUUGGACCAUAACAAGCCUUUAUUUUGGGGAGUGACUGCUGGGCUGUCUCUCAACAAAGGAGAGAGAGCAACAUAGCUGAGACAGGGAGCUUCUCUUACCAGACUGAGGUGGGGCUUAUAGGAGCUGGGGUGGCAUUGAGUGAUGUAGUGGCUAGGGACUGGGGGAGCUUGUGACAUCAGCAGGAGGGGCUGUGUCAUCACUAGUUAGGGCCAUCUUAAGGCGAGGGAAAUCUAAUGUUCCAGGCUUUUGUUUUAUGAUUAUUGGGCGAGGCUCUCUUCUGGAGCUGUUUCAAGUUGAAAAAGGGGUGAAAGUUGGGGCUAAGCCUGGAUCUGGUGGGGGCAGCGGCAGGUGGGGGCUUCUUCCCUCUGCCAUUGUGGUGGAUACCCCGCCAAGAUGAGUUCUGUGACCGUCUGGCCUUGGGACAGGCAGAUCGGACACUCUUCUGAGAUAAAGAGGGAGCAAGGAAGGCAAGUGAUGUUGUCACUUUGCCCCAUGCAUGUCAGGUUAGUGUUUCGUGUAGGGAAUGGGAGAUCUGUAGUGAAGGGUCCCAGAACUGUGGAUAAAUUGCCAGUAUUUGAGACAGACAGGUUAAAAUCUAGGGCAACAGGAACUGGAGUGAGUGGGUGAGUGGGGGUGAAUAGACAUACACAUCCAACAGGCUGAGAUAUUGACAGGGAGACAGUGGAGGGUAGUAUUAAAUAGGUGUUAUAGCUUUUUUUGAGAUUGGGUUAUCUGGUUUAUCACUUCAAGAUCUAUCCCUUUAUAGGGAGGUGGAGUGGUGGGCCUCAAAACUCUAUCGAUAGUGCCUGUUCACUGACUGCCUCUUUUAGUUAUUCUUUCCUGCUGGGUAUUUAAAACCAAGUGAAAGUAGGCUGAGGAUUUAGCUCAGUGGUGCUGCUGCCUGCCUGGCAAACAUAAGGACCUGAAUUCGAUUCCUGGUGCAAAAAAAAAAAAAGACCAAGUUAUUUAUUUAUUUCACUUAGGACAUGUGUAAAUACCGAAUAGUUUCUCUGGUGUGAAAAAUCUGCAAUAAUACAUAAGAUCCUAAUAAGAUUACUGACAUUGAGAAAUGGGAAGAAAGGAGCUAAAGAUGUAGAGAAGGUGGGAUGGCUGGGGAAGGGUAAUAAGGGAAAAGAAAAAAAUGUGAGAUAAUGAAAGAUGGAAAUAAAGUGUAGAUAGGGAGGGGAGGAGGGGGUGAAGGGAGGGCAGGGGUAAGGGGAAAAAAUGAGAAUCAAAACUUGUCAUGUAGAGGUACAAGAUCCCAACAAUGAAUGUAACUGUACUGUAUCCCUAAAAUGUACCAAUAAACUCAAUUAGAGCUGGAAAAAAAAAAGAGACCAAGUUAAAGUGAGACCUGUGUUAAUAUGAACAGCUUGCUAUCUGUCAAGGUCAGUUAAUUCUCUUUAGGCAUUAUUUU